AUGCUUCCAGAACCCAGCGGUGUCCUGGUGCUCCUACCCUGGCCCCUCCCACCUGAAGGGAGCCAUCCUGUUCCCAGGUUAGCCUGGUCAUCCCAGAAAGCGACAUUAAGUCUCAGCCUGCGGGAGCAUCCCAUGGGCUUCAAAGGCUGCAAAGGCGUUUGGGCAUCUCCCAUUCCAUUGUCCAGAAGGAAGCCCUGCAUCCAAAAAACCCUUCUCGACUUUCUCAGCGAAGCAGGCAGUGUGCAGCGGGGAGGGGCUGUACAGCCCCCAGACUGGCUCCCCUCGCCGCCGAGGGAGUCCUUCCCUGGGCGCUUCCCGUGCUGCCGCCCCCUCCCCACAGACAGACCAAGCGUCAGCUCCACCCUCCACCUGCCCCAGUGGAGCUCUGAAGAAGUCCAGGAGGAGGAAGCCCCUCAAGACGUCCAUAUGCAGAGAGGGCUCACAGCGGACAACAGCAGGAGACCCUCGCCCUCACCCCACGGCCCAGCACUGCGGCAGCAGAUAGCGGGGUGCCCUUGGUCCCAGCCCACAGCUGCGGCCUGUCCGACCAAACCUGCUCCACUCCAUCGGUCCUCAAAGGCAGCUUCCUGGUCCCGACUGUCCAGCGAAGAGUCCACUGACUCCCUUCUGGGCAGGACCCACUUUUCUGAGUAUAUGUAUCGGAGAGAUUCUCCAGUUACGCACGCAUGCACGUGCUGGCACCCGGAAGUGCGGGCCCCAGAGGAGUUCCCCUGUGGGGUAGGUGCUGCCCCAAGCGGAAGGCGCCUGAUUUCGUUUCUAGCCUCCAGGGCCAUCAUGAAGACUUCCGGGCACAGGACAAGAAUAAACCCACAGCGUUUAAUAGUGCUGAGUUCAAGGUCAGAUUGUCUUGGCUAACUCUCCCAGCUGCACUGUUCCCACGACCCUCCCCCUCGAGUCAGCCAGAGGCCUGGGCCAGACGCCCCCCACCUACAGGGGUCCUCACUGACCCAAAGUCAGAGGCCCAGGCCCAGGCAUCUGGGAGUCCACAAGGCAAAGUCAGCCCCGCCGAGCCGCCUGGAGCAACGUGACAGGAAGUGCUGUGAGGUGGCUCCCGCUGGGCUCCCCCUAGGCGGUCAUUCAUUCUGCCAAGCACCCUUUUACAAGGAGGCGGGCAGGCAAGGGGGACGAGCCUGGUGGCUUCUUUCCUGCUUCCGCUCUCGGGGAGGGGAGGGGGCCACACCGUGGGAAGUGCCCACCGUGCGAGCACCAUGUUCCCACUUCCCGUGGCACCCAGCCAAGCCACCCUGGGUGCAGACACGCACCGACAAGCCGUCCAGAGACUCAACCCACCGACGGCAAUGGGCGAAGCCAAGCACAGAGGCCUCCCGUGCUCCGGCGUCAGCUGCCAGCCAGGCUGCAAGUCCUGUUCAGCGUCGCCCAGCUGUAGUCAGGUGCUGUAAAAGCCUUAUUUCUUUAAGGAUUAUAAGGCAGCAAGCACGCCGCGUCAGCCUUCCUCAGACCUGGAGAAGGGUCUGCGAGCCACGUCACGGGGGCACUGGGGAACCUGAGCGUAAACGGGACAUCGGGCACUGUCGCACGCCCAUCGGUGGCUGGGGCGGGACAGCGCCUGGAGCGAGGCUGCUGGGGAGCGAGGGCCCUGGCCUUCAGGGGACGUGCGCUUGGGGACACGAGGGUGCGUCAGAAAGUUCACGAGAAACGGAGCUCAGACCAGUUCAUUCAGAACAUUUCUGAAAUCCAUGCAUAAAUUCGUCAUAAUAAACAAUCUCUGUGAACUAUUUGAAAAGCUUUC
ensembl:lncRNA